GAUGAACGCUGGCGGCGUGCUUAACACAUGCAAGUCGAACGAUUAACCCAAACUUCGGUUUGGUUAUAAAGUGGCGAACGGGUGAGUAACACGUGACCAACCUGCCUUCUAGAUCGGGAUAACUCAAGGAAACUUGUGCUAAUACCGGAUACUCCGAGAAAAACGCAUGUUUUACUCGGGAAAGCUUUUGCGCUAGAAGAUGGGGUCGCGGCCUAUUAGGUAGUUGGUGGGGUAACGGCCUACCAAGCCUGCGAUAGGUAGCCGGGUUGAGAGACUGAUCGGCCACAUUGGGACUGAGAUACGGCCCAGACUCCUACGGGAGGCAGCAGUGGGGAAUUUUGCGCAAUGGGGGCAACCCUGACGCAGCAACGCCGCGUGCGGGAUGAAGGUCUUCGGAUUGUAAACCGCU
rnacentral:rRNA from 1 species